CGUUGUUUGCGAGCGGCAGAUGUUGCUUCCUCGAGACGCCUUCCUUACCGCCGCCCUUUGUUUCCUCUUCACCCCCGCCGCUGUUCGCUCUUGCACACGCACCCGUGCCAGGCGGCACAAUCUAGAACCUUCUCCGGUCAUCGCGGAGAGACAUCGCAUACGCGCCUAUAAGCGCGCCGGAACGCGACUAUGCAGCGAGGAAACAACGCAAGGAAAAUGCAGCGCACACUUGUCACAGUUUGCCUCUGUGCGCGUGUACCCGCGCACCGCUCUGACGCGGGCGUACUUAAGCGGGCACGCACGCAAAUAAACAUAGUGAAGUUGGAGCUGGCAUUCCUUGCUUUCUCGUAUCCUUGGCCUUCAGACGCCGGCGCCUGCCGACGCAGCGAUAGCGAGAGGAGAUUCGUCGUUCGGUGAUUGUCUUCUCUUGGUUUUCGCAUUCUUUUCGUUCUCUCUACCAAGCGUGGCUAAACCUGAAAGUGCAGCCAAGACAAGGCCACGGUCAUCGGCGCACGAGGUCGGCAUCCGCAAGGCGGCACCACCAUCGCCCGGUGAGCAGCGCUGCCAUACUGCAGGUCACGUGGGGUUCCGGUAGAAUGAGGAGUGGCAAACGGAUGGUCUGGUCAACUAUACCUGCCUAGGUGGCUCAAGGUGAUUGUCAGAGCGUCGAUCGCCUCUCGUGAGACGCAAGCUUCAUAUCAGAGAAAUGGGUUGUUCUGUUUACGGUGACUACGAAACAUGACACAAAUGGCGUUCGGUGCCUGAAGCUGAACCUGUGUGUUCCACACACGUGGAUACCUGUUGCGCUUGAGAACGUCCGGCUCGAGGACGGACAAGCCCUGGUAUAUGCGGCAUGUUCUCUUUCACAGUUUACGCAAUGUGUCGCACCGUCAGCUUUCGGAAACAUAUUCCUUCGAAGCACAUUUCGUGCAAGUUUUGCGGCCUCGGCAACUCUUUGAGCCAUGGCCGAACCUUUGACAAUUGAAGCAUCUGAGGCGAGCGAACAUCGGCUCUAGCUGUGGCCGGCAGUGACUCUCCAGGAGACGAACGAUGUAUUUUCGCCGUCGUCUGUAGUGCAACGGGGUCACCGCAUUCAUGGGACGAAGAUCCAAGUGUACUGUGCUUGCUUCGUUGCUUUUGAGUGUUUUGACGUGGCAAAAUUAACAGCUCGCAGAAUACAUUCAUGAGCACAAUAAGUAAGAUAGAGCAUUCCUGAUAGACAUUAUAUAUAAUUUAAGGAAAAGUUAUGUAGGUCCGGUGCAUAGGUAGUCAAAGAAACUAUGGGGCACACUUACUAAAAGUGCAUGUUCAAUGGUUUAACCUUUAACCUUCGUCAGAAUGCUGCUGUAUUCGGGCGAAAGCCGUGCCACGGCCGAAACGUUACGUCAUUGAACGUGCAAUUUUCAUGAGUGUGCCCCUUCGUUA